rnacentral:tRNA from 1 species
GGGAUUGUGGCUCAGUGGUAGAGCGCUUGCCUAGCAUGCACAGGGGCCCUGGGUUAGAUCCUCAGCACCA